CGCUAGGCUUGACCGGGGGGUUGGGCGUCCCCUUGUACACCGAAACCGUCCUUAGCGGGGGUGACAGGUAGGAGCGACGUUCGGGGGAGGAGUGCGUCUUGCGUUGCUUCGUCGACGCUCUGUUCUACUGGGCCGCGGGCACUGCGACGAUCGCUCGGAGGAGCGAUCUAGCGGUUAUCCAUCACGGGCACCGGGUCAGGUCCUGACGGGAGCAGCCUUACCGUGACCCGUCGACGCUGGUGGGGCGACGGGGCUGAGGAGCGCGCAAGAUCAACGCACACCUUCUCCGGGCGGCUCGUCGUCAUCGCG
rnacentral:SRP_RNA from 1 species